CCCACUGAGAAGUCAUGAGCCCUUCCCCCCCCCGCGCAUUUGGAAGAGAGGCGGACGGUUAUCUUUCCUGGGUCCGAAGCUGGAAGCCCAAAGGAGAUUCCGGGGCGCCGUAGGAAUGAAUGCUGAGGGUAAAGCUAAUAGAGAGGAAAGCAAACUCUAGGGAGAGUGAAACAGAGUUAUUUUAUCCCUUGGAUCUAGCCAGCCCUGAGGCUGUAUAGUUCAUCACAGGAGUCCACUAACUAUAUUUCCACUCAUUUUUUUUUUCCUUAAGCCAUUUAGGGGUGAGUUUUCUGCCACUGGCAACGGAAAGGGGAAAAAAAAAUCUUGAUUUAGAGAUAGCAUUGAAAAGGCCACAACAAGACGAGUGUGGUCUUAAGACUUGGAAGCAGCGCCCCCCUUCCCACCACGUCCGCUGCUCGCUGCCCAGAGAUGGAGCUGAAACGCACAGGUUUCCAGCAGGUGCCCGGCGGCUGCUGUGGGAAGCGCCAUCUCAGCGCUGGGCUCCCAUCGACACCCCUUCCCGGUGAUGGAGGGGCCGUGGCUUCUCCAGCCCCUCGCUCCUAUCAGCCCAGGCGUUCCAUCACGGGGACCCGCUGAUUCGCUAAAUGAGUAAGUGCGAAGCACGGCAAGGUCGCCGAGAAGUUAACGGAAGGGAUUCUAGGGGACGGUAGACACACUUGGCCACGGAGGGCCCGGCGAGGGGCAGAAGACGCGGUAAAUGGCGCUCGGGCCUGGUGCCCCUCGGCCGCACACCCCAUUACGGCCCCGACAGUUGAGUUCUAAACAGUUAAAUAUGAAACUGUCAACAAGGUCCUGUCUUAAUAACCAAACUUGAGGCCUUUUAUCCUGGAAGAUUUAUGAAGUAAUUUUAAAGAGAUCCAAGCGAACAUCUGUCAAUAAAUUGAAUGCCGGCUACAGGAUUUACAAGCAAGACAAGAAUUUCUCAUUAAGUGCACAUUAACACGGUGGGGAUCAUAAAUAGAAGGAGGCCAGGAUGCAGAGCCUCUCAAGCUGUCAUUAAAACACUAUCUAAGAACUAAUGAGGAAGUGAUGGAAGGGUACUAAUGAUGCCUUGGGCUCCCAACCUUUGCCAGUCUGAGAAGGGCCGUGCAGAAUCAGAGGACUCCAGGGAGCCCGGAUGCUGGCCUAGAGCGGCUCCUCGCAGCUCAUUCCACUGUCUGCUCGGACCUGCAGGUCUCCUGUGUCCACCCGGGGGACAGUGGAGGUACCCACGUGACUCCCUGCACUAUCACCCCCGAUGGAAUGCAGCUCCCCCAUGAUGGCCUUCUUCACAUGGUCCCAAAUACACACGUUCAACAAAGGUUUCCAUCCCAACUACUGCACGUGCUGUGCUAACUAAUGUUUCCACGGUGCGAGGGGAAACUUCUGGAAACUUCUUUUUGGCCGAAACAUACCUUUAACAUGCAGAGAGAGCUACCCAUCGGAGCUCUGUGCUCACAAUAGAACUACCUGUUUGCCGAUGUCACCUGGCUCUUCGGCCGUCUGACAGAACGGAAGUCAGUGUUGUGUUUUCUGCGUGGCAUGGCGUGUCUACAUUCUACCCUCGGGCAAGACCGUGUCUGCUGAAGUGGCUCUCCUCGAGGCACAGAUACAGGUUAGGGAGGGACUGCAGCUAGCACAAACUGGGUAUAUGACCCUUGUGGCUGACCAUGGAGCCGCUGAACUAUACGGAAAAUGAGAUUAAUUACAGGAAACGGAGACACAUCAAAGGCAAGGAAAUAGCAGAUCAGAAGCUUCUGGUUAAAGGGACCGAGUUGAGAACAAAUGGGGGUCAUGUCGAAGUCAACAAAGACAGAGGUCAAAACAGAAAGGAGUGAAGCCAGGUUGGAAGAAGGUGAGCAAUGCGGAAUCUAAGGACUCAAGGGGUGGGCAAUCGUAGAGGAAUUCUGGGGCUGGACUCACGCCUGGGAGGGAAGAGGCAGGCCAGGAAAGCAAUAUAGUGCAUAAUAAAACAUCACAGAUUAUCGCGUUUGCCAUGCAGUCAAAUGCUAGCAGGGGCAGGGAGAGAAAGAAGGAGAGAGGGCACCAGACAGGUGCACACACGAUGAUGGCCAAAAAAAUGAGGGUGGGAAGGGAAGAAGGGAGGAAGCAUGGACCGGGGCGGGGAUGAGGGAAGCAAUGAGUCAAAAAAUAAAAUUAACACAGAUUUACACGGUACACUGGUGUGACCAGGAGAUCCUGAUAAAUAAGCUUGUGUCAGAACAAGCUAACUAAACACGGGGUUCUGUCCACAAGUAAUUUACUAUUUAGUGAACUUGCUAAGACCACAUUGGGCUGGGCACACGAUGAUAAAGUGUCCUCAUCCAUACACCUCAAGCUAGGCGACUGCAGGUGCGGUGGUUACGGGUGUGGCUCUAGGAGAACAGAGAGAAACGGGGUCGCGGGGAAAGACUCGGGUUUUCUAAGGUUAGAGUCUGGGGAGAAUCCCUGUCCUCGAGGAUAGCAGAAACCACCCAGGGUGAAAAGAAUGACAGGAGCCUUCUGGUUUGGGAGGGCGGACUGAAGGCAUUUCAGGCACAUGCAAACCCACCCUUGCCUUCUGUCCCAGGCUAGUGCCGCUCUCAAAGUUUGGAACCUGCUGUCAGGACCCAAGACGAUGACAGCAGGAGAGCAAGACAUUCAAGGGAAGACUGGGCCACCAACAUUCAAUCAGAGGAGUGCAGAACGAUGGCCCCACAGGGCGAAAUUGUGAUUCGGUUCUCAGAGAGAAGACCUCAGCCAGGAGCUCGCCAAGGGCUCCCCCCAUGGCACCCAGGCUGCUCCCCACUACCACGUGCAUGGGAUUCUCCAUCUCCCUCUCUCUUGCCUCUUCCUUCCCUCUAACUCUCUGCCCACCAUUCCCGAUCUCAACCUCCCUUGUCCCGUGUCCGUUUCUGUCUCUUAUGAAACACACUCCCCUCUGCUUCCACAGUGCGAAGUUCUGCUUGGCCCCUGGAAGUCUGCUCGCCAGUGUGGUUCCUUCCCCCCCCCCCCCCCCUUUUUCAGGGUCAUUCAAGUGCAAACAGAGAAGAGUAACAGAUUAUAAUGCAGCCCAAUUAAAGUCCUCGGAUGUCACAAGGCACUAAUGUCAACAUAUCGUUUCAGCAGCUGCGCACGACCAGGAAAAAGAAAGUUGAUUUUUGUUUUCUGUUUUCUUUUCCAAAAUCUGAAAGCCUAAAGAGGCUUCCUAGAAACCCGCCGCAGAAAGACGAGACAGAGCGACAAGACAGAGUGCCGGAAAGCACGAACUAUGCAGAUGCGGAGCUCCUGGGAAGCCAUCUCUAAGGACGGGAUGGAUUUGAUGAGAGACUCAUCAGAGGACCCGGAUGCUCAGCUUUUAACUUAUUUUUGCAAAGCAGGUAUUUUUGCAAACAAGAAUUAGAGAACGGCCUCCAGCUAAAUUGCAGGGAGUCCCUGAAGAGCAAACCCUCAGAGGGGAGAGUCAGUGAAGAAGAAAAUGAAGAUGACAAGGCUGUUGCUUCUUAAUAAACAUGAUCACAUUUUCGGCAUG